AGUCACUGACAUUAGAUACCCCCGUAGUCCCAGCCGUAAACUAUGCGCGUUAGGUGUAUCGGUGACCACGAGUUACCGAGGUGCCGAAGGGAAACCGUGAAACGUGCCGCCUGGGAAGUACGGUCGCAAGGCUGAAACUUAAAGGAAUUGGCGGGGGAGCACAACAACGGGUGGAGCCUGCGGUUUAAUUGGACUCAACGCCGGACAACUCACCGGGGACGACAGCAAUAUGUAGGCCAGGCUGAAGACCUUGCCUGAAUCGCUG
rnacentral:rRNA from 1 species